rnacentral:tRNA from 1 species
AACGGGGUAUUUUAUUAAGAAUAGUGAGUUUGCGUCUCAUAGGUGGGUUUGCUCCCUGUUGG